GGGGAUGUAGCUCAGAGGUAGAGCACAUGCCUAGUAUAUGUGAGGCCCUGGGUUUGAUCCUAGCACUGCCA
rnacentral:tRNA from 1 species